AUAAGAAUACUUCUUGUGGUUUCACUGGAUUAUAUACAUUCACAGAGAGAAAGAGAGAGGAGAGAGAGAGAGAGAGAGAUGCUCGUGUCCCUUGGCAUCCUCCAAAAGCCAUAUUAAGGUAUUAAGUAUAUAAAUGCAAGGGACUUGUUAAUGAAUAUGGAUAAGGAAGAGGGAUAAGGGGAGAAUACAGAGGAGGAAGAAGAAAAAGACACAAAAAUAAUCUUCAAGCUCAAGCGACAGCUAGCCAUGGUGAUCCAGAGGCUGGAAAUGUGUAUAGAGCUGCUGAAACUGGCCCUGGAGUUCGUCCUCGUUGUAGCUCAAGCAGUGGAGAUAGCCCUUCAGCACAACAUGUCUCCAUUCACCAGCUAUUCAGCUUAUAGCAGUGUUCCAGUUCAUUUUGUUGGUUUUCUUCCUUAAGUUAUAUUCAUCAUUUUCAUAUCUCUCAUGUAAAGCUUCAGGUUGGUACAAAUUAAUCGCACUUUUUUAAGAGCUUAAUUUCCUUUUUUCCAGUAGAGAUUUGUAGCCUUAUUCAUUUGUGAGAAAAAUCUACCCGUAUAUAUGCUCGUGAAUUUGGGAGCACAUCCGCUUUAAUCAUCCUGAUUAAGUUCAUGUCUGUUGCAUUUUUGCUAAUAGAAAACAGCUCAUAAGGCAUUGUUCUAUAUUUGUGCUUUUUUAGAGAAAAAAAACACUCAAGUGUUUUUGUUGUUUAUUAAUGGCAAUGAUGCUUACCUUUGUUUAUAAGACAAGAGUUUGUAAUAUGUGGCAAACUUUAUAAAGCACAAAAAUAGAUCGUUUGUGCUUCUGUUCUGAAAAGCUAAUUAGGGUUUGGGAUA